GGCCUCAUUUCAUGUGUAGUCAUUACAUUAAAGGGUUACUCUCAUUCGAGGGUUUGUUCCCAACCUUUUGGAUAGAUUUCUUCAUAAUGACAGUUUUCUUUCCUUGACCAUCGUAAAUGAAAAAGUUGAGACGUAAAACUAUGCUUGAAACACGUGUGUCACUCAAACGACUUUAAAGUAGUCUCCCUAAUCAAUUACGUAUAUUAAGGUGGCACCCUACAGAUAUAGCAAUUUUUUUCCCCAUUGAAUUUUUCUUAAAAUUUGCAUACAUAUACUAUGCAAUGGCCUCUAUAAAAAUUUGAGUUAAAAAUAGUAUGUCACCAGACUCGUUUCCAUGGUAACGGCCACCAAAGUUGGUACAUUACGGGUAUGCAUAAAUACAUACCUGAUGUAGAAACCAUGGAAUUUUUUCAAGCUUUUGAAAGUAUUUUGAAAGGUUUGUUCUUC
rnacentral:lncRNA from 1 species